AUUUAUAUUUGUUAUAUGUAAAGAAAAAUUAUGCCUAAAAUUUUCAAAUUUGUUUAUAUUAUUACGAUCGUCUUUAUUUCCUUAUUUCUUGUUGUAAUUUACGUCAAUGCCGGAUUCGCUUUGGAGUGUACUAUAGAUUAUGAUUGUCUUGAUACUGAAAAUUUCUUAUGUCACUUUCCUCGUUUGAUUCCAAAGUGUGUUGGUGAGCGGUGUAUCUGUGGCAUGAGUAACGGUUACUAUUAAGUUCAAACAUAAUUAUAUAAUAAUUCUUUUCUUUUCUUUUUUGGUAAAAUUAUAUAAUAAUUAUAAUCUUAUAUAUAAUUUUUUUUUUUGUUUACAAAGAGGGCUAUGAGCCCAAUACAUAAGUUUAUUUUAGAUAUCAUAAUGUUGUAACUCUUACUAUUACAUUUACAUUCAAAUUUGAAUUCA